UGGGGAAUAUUGCACAAUGGGCGCAAGCCUGAUGCAGCAACGCCGCGUGAACGAUGAAGGUCUUCGGAUCGUAAAGUUCUGUUGCAGGGGAAGAUAAUGACGGUACCCUGUGAGGAAGCCCCGGCUAACUACGUGCCAGCAGCCGCGGUAAUGCGUAGGGGGCUAGCGUUAUCCGGAUUUACUGGGCGUAAAGGGUGCGUAGGUGGUCUUUCAAGUCGGUGGUUAAAGGCUACGGCUCAACCGUAGUUAGCCUCCGAAACUGGAAGACUUGAGUGCAGGAGAGGAAAGGGGAAGUCCCAGUGUAGCGGUGAAAUGCGUAGAUAUUGGGAGGAGCACCAGAAGCGAAGGCGGCUUGCUGGACUGCAACUGACACUGAGGCACGAAAGCGUAGGUAGCAAACAGG
rnacentral:rRNA from 1 species